rnacentral:rRNA from 1 species
GGGCCCGCACAAGCGGUGGAGCAUGUGGUUCAAUUCGAAGCAACGCGAAGAACCUUACCAGCCCUUGACAUCCCGGUCGCGGGAACGAGAGAUCGAUCCCUUCAGUUCGGCUGGACCGGAGACAGGUGCUGCAUGGCUGUCGUCAGCUCGUGUCGUGAGAUGUUGGGUUAAGUCCCGCAACGAGCGCAACCCUCGCCCUUAGUUGCCAUCAUUCAGUUGGGCCCUCUAAGGGGACUGCCGGUGAUAAGCCGCGAGGAAGGUGGGGAUGACGUCAAGUCCUCAUGGCCCUUACGGGCUGGGCUACACACGUGCUACAAUGGCGGUGACAGUGGGAUGCAACGGGGUAACCCCGCGCAAAUCUCAAAAAGCCGUCUCAGUUCGGAUUGUGCUCUGCAACUCGAGCACAUGAAGUUGGAAUCGCUAGUAAUCGCAGAUCAGCACGCUGCGGUGAAUACGUUCCCGGGCCUU